rnacentral:lncRNA from 1 species
AGACAACUCAGCUUCCAUCAGUAAAAUAUGUUCAUUUCCCUCUUGCAAGCCCUUGCUUUCAUCUUCUUUUCUAGCUGGACCACAGCUUGAGAUAAAUUUCAUCACAUAAUCUUUUCUGUCAGUGACCUUGAUGAGAACCUAUAUUUAAUUCAUUUCCUAGUGAAAAGCUGUAGACAGGAACCAACGUCCAAGAGGCCCAGAAGAUACUCAACAACAGCGGACUCCCCAUUACUUCAGCCAUUGACCUGGAGGAUGCAGCCAAGAAGGCUGUGGCCAGUGUGGCCAAGAAGUGAUGUCUUUGUCCUGAUCCAAUGGAGAAAGAAAGCCAUUUUUCCGUAAAAAGGGAUGGUUCAUCAUUGUGAAAGAAAUGGUUAUCUCAUUGGGGAAGAAAAGGGGAGGGGGAAGGCAAGAAUCACUGAAAAAUCUUAAAUCUGUGUUUUCUGGAAUAAGAUAUCUAGACAGCCUAAAUCUGAUUUUGGUCUUUAUAAAAAUAAUAUCUUGUGUUCUCAUACUUUUCUGUCACUGUAAGCCUGCCCAGUAGGCAGUGUUUUGCAGACUUUGGGGAGUGGUCUAUGUGGCCAAAUAUUGUGUGUAUAGACAGAAUUUGAAAUCAAGUCCUGCUUCAUUUACAAGAAUUUUGGUGGGCAUCUAAUCCUACAUAAUG